UACAGAGGGUGCGAGCGUUAAUCGGAAUUACUGGCGUAAAGCGCACGUAGGUGGCGACGUAAGUCGGGUGUGAAAGCCCCGGGCUCAACCUGGGAAUUGCAUUCGAGACUGCAUUGCUGGAGUACGGAAGAGGAGGGCGGAAUUCCCGGUGUAGCGGUGAAAUGCGUAGAUAUCGGGAGGAACAUCAGUGGCGAAGGCGGCCCUCUGGUCCAGUACUGACACUCAAGUGCGAAAGCGUGGGAGCAAACAGG
rnacentral:rRNA from 1 species